rnacentral:lncRNA from 10 species
UCGCAGUUAGUGAUGCUCUUAUUCAAGUGGUUUUGGUUUGGCUGCCUCUGACACUUUAUUCCAUGUUGCCUAAUAGUUUUAAAAGCCCCUAUUUUAUAGUCAGUGCAUCUUUCUGUGGGUCCCCAGAGAAGGGAAGACUGUGAGAUCAUAAUGCCUGGUUAUGGCAAAAAGACCGCAAUUCCCACCAGAGAGCAAAAAGGAAGUAAAGCUACCAUUGUUGAUCUGAAACUAAAUGGAUUCUUGUCCGUUGUGAGGAGCAGCAGCCUACAAAGCACACUGAAUGCCAAAUGUGUUGCACCAGGGCUACAGGGAGUCGACUGCUCACAGAAAGCAAGCAUUCUGUUCUAAUUCUGUGCUGUAAGCUUUGCAAUAAGAGGCUCCAUAUGAGAAGGCUGGUGGUUGCCCAGCUGGGCUUAUGACAGACACACCCAGAUGUUUUUAAUCUAUGCAAAAUAAUGAUGGAUACUUGCUACCUUCUUCAACUAAUUUUCAAGAUGUAUUUAUAUAAAAUAAAAGAGUCUUUUAAAGCACAACUUUUUUCAAAUGUAUUUGUUACUGCACCUUUUGCCCUGGAAAAUUAUUUUUCUAUUUUUAUUUUUAUUUUUUGAGACAGGGUCUCACUCUGUCACCCAGGUUGGAGUGCAGUGGUGUGAUCACAGAUCACUGCAGCCUCGACCCCCACAGGCUCAAGUGAUCCUCCCACCUCAGGCCCCUGAGUAGCUGGGACUACAGGCAUGCACCACUAUACCAGCUGAUUUUUAAAACUUUUUGUAGAGACAGAAUCUCACUACAUUGCCCAAGCUAGUCUCAAACUUCUGGUCUCGAGCCACCCUCCCACCUCAGCCUCCCAAUGUGCUGGGAUUACAGGCAUACGCCACCACACCCAGCCUUAUUAUUUUGCUCUUUAGAGAUAAGAUAUCCAAACUUCAAAAAUAUUGUUAAUUUGGUACAAGUUAAAUCUCAGAAAUUUUGGAAACAAUCGCCUUCUGUAAUAUAUGUAAAAUAUUAUACACAGUGUCUGGCAUACAGUUAGUGCUAAAUAAAAGUUUUUC